rfam:Kangiella geojedonensis strain YCS-5, complete genome.
CGGAGCGUGGCGCAGCUUGGUAGCGCACUUGCAUGGGGUGCAAGGGGUCGGAGGUUCAAAUCCUCUCGCUCCGA